rnacentral:rRNA from 1 species
AUUGAACGCUGGCGGCAGGCCUAACACAUGCAAGUCGAACGAGUGGCGGACGGGUGAGUAAUGUCUGGGACACUGCCUGAUGGAGGGGGAUAACUACUGGAAACGGUAGCUAAUACCGCAUACCAUCAGAUGUGCCCAGAUGGGAUUAGCUAGUUGGUGGGGUAACGGCUCACCAAGGCGACGAUCCCUAGUCGGUCUGAGAGGAGGACAGGCCACCCGGGAACGGAGACACGGACCAGACUCCUACGGGAGGCAGCAUAGGGGAAUAGUGCACAAUGGGCGCAAGCCUGAUGCAGCCAUGCCGCGUGUAUGAAGAAGGCCUUCGGUUGGUAAAGUACUUUCAUCGGGGAGGCGUUACCCGCAGAAGAAGCACCGGCUAACUCCGUGCCAGCAGCCGCGGUAAUAC